AUCUCCGUGAGACAGACGCUGCAGGCGGGCGCCCCGGGGACAGGGAGGGCAUCCUUUCAAAGCCCUUUUUCCCUAGACGCUCCGGGGAACUGCAGGCGGGUUUGAAUGUGCUCCGGCGCUGCUCCGGAGCCGCGGGUGGCGGCCAGACGGGGAGAGGCAGCGCCGAGACCUCCCCGCAGCAGGAGCCGGCUGGAGGGCAGCGCCGCGCAUUGGAAAUUACUGGGGCAAAUGCUCUGCUCUUUCAUCCUCAAGUUGUAGGGGAGGAUGCAGGACUGAUGUGCCCUGUUGGUCAAAAUUCUGCCAUCCCUUGGCUGGAUAAAUGGAGUCAGGUCUGUCAGUGGGAGCAGCUUCCUGACGACAGAUAGAGGACAGCAGGAGGAGGAGAAGAGAGAAGAUGUUGGGAGAUCAAAGACUGAAGAGGUAAAAUCACCAAGUGAAGCUCCAGGAACAAAGAAUGAAAAAAUAUCACUACGUGUACCUGCAAGGGGUGGUUGUUUAACUUAAUCCUAUUUCUAAGGGGCUCCCCCAUUUUUAAAAAGAAGGCAACACUUGAGUUACCCACCUGACUUUCUCCACUGCACAAAUGAGUUAAUUCUGGGAGAACCAUUGAGGAGUUUUCCCCUCCAUCCUUCAUUUCAUUGUGGCCUGACUUCAGAGCCAAGUACUCACUUUCAAGCAGGAUUUACCAUAAAAUUCCAAGGUAAUAGCGAGCUUAAACAUACCCUACAUAAACCAGAGUUUUAAUGGACUUCUGAAAGCUGAGGUAAGAGGGAUGGGUGGGUCCCAGGAGAGAUGAAAUGGUUGCCUGUAACAGGGAUAUGCUGCAAGGUGAGAGAACUGAAUUUUUUAUGAGUUGUAAAAUCAGUAGGACUUCCUAUAAGUGCAAAGAGUCAUCACUGCUGUCUCUGAGCUGGGGUUGUGGUCGUAGGGCUGUGGUUUCCAAGUGAGAAGCCCACAGGAUUGCUUCCUGUUUGUCAGUUUGCUUCCCUUCUUGGCAGGUCGGCUUUUUGGAAGGGUAAUUUUCGUACCUCCUGCCUUCUGCAGAGAACAUACUGUUCUAGCACAGCUUAAACGUGCAUAGGAGGCUACAGAACAGAGAGCUAAGCAUCACACUUUGCCAAUCCACACUUUUGUAACACUUAAUGGCCUAUUUUGAUCUAUUUUAACAGCCACACUGCACCCAGGCAACGUGGUGGCAGUAAUGUAACAACUACAUUUAUUCCAGAAACAAUGCCCUCACACUUCAGAGCAAGUACAGAACUGAUGUACACGUUUUUAGGGGCUAGAUAGGGCUUGGCAGUGAUUUGGGAAAACAACCUGCAUUCAUUACCAUCAGAUGUGAGUAAACCCAUCCAGAUGUGUUCAGCCCUCCUCGUUACAGCGAUGAGAGAGAGCUGCUGUUCCAGCAGAGCUGAUAGCCUGCUCUGGAUACCAGCAGCACACAGGGAAAGGGAAAAGCCACUCAGUGGCAAGGGGAGCUUCCUGCUAUAAAAUGGAUGACUUCCACCCUGACAGCAUUCUGCUACCUCUGUUCUGAACAAAACAGAUCUCACUUUAGCCCACGUGCUGCCCUCCUUCACUAGAGCAGCAAUACCAUGACUCAGGUCCACGUGAAGGUGACAGUGACAGCAGACAACAAAUCCAAUGGUACCUGUGGUUACUGAUAAAAGGAAAAGUAGCACAAGUCUCAGGUUCCAGCAGAUACCACCUGAAGAAACUCCCCAAAAGGUAUUUUUGCACACCUCAUAACCCAAAUCUAAUGGCAGCACGAGCUGAAAUUUGGCUGCAAGCUCAAGUCCUGUUUGUUUUGCCGUUCUGAGUGCAGUGACAGAUUAGGAGUAUGUGCUUAUUUCAAAGUACUUUUCUCCAGAGAUUUCUGGUUUGUUUCUUCAUUUAAUUAAGAAGGUAAGUCAACAUAUUGCCCAUAGAGGGAUUUUUCAGCAACUGCUGACAUUGUAGUUUGGCAGACUGAUCUUAAAAAAAAAAAAGGUCAUGCUGUGGUAAAAGAAAGCAUCCAUUUCCCCUAAAAAUAUUUCUGGUGUAUAUGCAUAUGCAUAUAGGUAAUGAAGGAGAAUAUAAACCAUUUAAAUCCACAGGACUUAGAACUGAAGGACUUUUUUUUUUUAGUAAGGAGCUAAAAUGGCAGAGUAUAUAGAGGAAGGACCAUUUUACUCAAAUUACAUAUUUUUAAUGCCCAGCUUAGGGAAUCAAGUAAAUACCUUCUGAAAUAUAUUCAACAUUAAUUUACAAACUUUGAUAGGUGGUUUUUAUUGCCAAAUGUAGUAAAAUCAAGUGAAGAAGUAUCUGAGACUAAGAUGGUGCAAAUAAUGUCCCCAGGAGGAAACAGCAUGAAAAGGGUGUGAGUAAUAGUUCUGCUACUUGUUGAUCCUCAGCUUCUUUGCAAGUCCUUAGAAGUAAAGAGACAGGAGUAAAAGGCAUGUUCUCCAUUAAUUACUCAAUUAGUUAUUCCAGCUGUGGAAUAACUGAAGGAAUAUCAGGGCCUGAUUCACUACUGUGCUAAUUUCACUAAUUCCAGCCUAACACUGGAGUAACACUGUGGUAAAAAACAACCCAUAUUUGUAUUUAAAUUAAAAUCUCUAAUAUUCAUCAAAUAUUUAUAAGACUAUAUAACAAAUAAUUGUGGCAAACAUUGUGUAAUAAAGAUGAAAGGGAAAUUAACCUUGUGAAUUUUUAAACUGAAGAAUAAAGACCAUUACAUUAAUAAGACUUAAUUAUAGCAUUAAAUAUUUAAAAUUAUGCCCUCCAAUAAAUGUUUUUAUUUAACAUAUUUCUUUUUUAUCUAUUACAUUAGUAAAAUGCCUUUAAGAUAUGAAAGAAAAAGAAAAAAGAAGAGGUAUUUGUUUUGGAUAGCCCUGGAACUACAUAAAAAGGAGAAGGGAACCAUAUGUUACCUCUUCAACUCAAGGUCAGCUCUCAGGACAGAACAACCUGUACUUCCACAAGCCUCAGCUCCCUGCCUGGAUGGGCUGGUGAGGGCUGCAUCUUUGCUAAGCAUUUUUCUUCAGUUAUUCUCAUUUUCUAGGCCUAGCUUGGCUCUGUCUGUGCUGAAGAGCUGAGUUAAGCUGGCACAAAGGAAGCUUGUCACCACCCGUGUUUGUAGCAUUCCAUUUAGCAUCUAACCCCAUCAAAAGGUGUUCAAAGACCAGUUUCUGGCCUACAGGGAUGAGUCCCCCCCUUGCUGUCACUGGCAGAGCACAGGUGUGACAGUAACAGUUGGAAAUUCGGGAAAUCCUCAGGGAGUCCACACCUUGCAAACAAGAGAAAGGGUCAGUUUGAUUGCAAAGAAUUGGGGGGUAAAGGAUUUGAAAGGGAAACAACCCCCCCAUCAUCCACAUACUGAUGUCACAGACUCUUUCCUUGCCAUUAAUUUGUCUCAGCUUAUUCUCUCUUAGCCUGUUUUAAUUAUUCUACAAACAGUAGAAGGGCUGCAGCCCAAAGCUUCUGAAUCAAACCAAAGGCCAGGUAACAGUUUAACCCACAACGUUGCAGCCCUGCCAGAAAGAAAUUUCUUUUUCUAGCACACCCCCAAAACUUUCAAUGUGCCCCCACAUUUAUGGCUCUUCCAAGUAACAUCUCUGUCUCUUCAGGGCACUCCACUUGUUUCUCUGUGCCUUGGCUGUAGGUGCAGAGCCCACAGCCAGGUAACCUGCCUGUCCCAGCUUUGCAGUGAAAGCUGACAUUACGUUACAUGCACAGAAACACUGGUUAAAACCAAGUGGCCAACAGUAAUAAACCAAGUCUAACUCAUCAGCAUUUCACACCUAUCAGAGGCUACAAUUUAAUGAUGCUUUAGUGGAAGUCCUCUUGAUUUACAAGCACACAAAAAUAAAAAGCCCUCUCUAUUCAACUACUGUGCUUUUUGUAGUUAAGCCAUUCUCUCUGUUUACCAGAGUAACACUUAAUCUGAUGUAAUCCCCACAAGUUCCUGUUUAUUUUUGGAAUAUUCUUUUGUCUUCUGUAGAUUGUGUGUUUUGUUGCUAUGAUUUUCUUCCCAGUCCCUCCCUAUUUCCCACUCUUCUAUCCCUCAUCAGCCAUACUGUAAUUACAGAAAUGUUAUUUUUUGGUGGACAGGUGCAUAGGGUUGCUGGCAGGAGUGCUGCCAUUAUGCACUGCAGAAUAUUAAAGAAUCAUAUGAAUCAAAUCUUAGUGAAAAAUAUUCUUGAGAAUUAUCAAAAAGCUUGAACUAAGUUUGGUUUGCUUGUUUACACAAGGGGAUAACUCAGCUAGAACUAGGUAAGCUUUAUUUACAUGUGGCAGCUAGGACUGCACUGGAGUCUUCUAAUUAACACUCAUGAUGCUGCAAAUAUAACCAGGGAUAAACACAUAUUCCAUUAUGUAAAGCUGCCACUCACACUGCUACAAUAUUCUUUUCUUCUCAGUGCACAAGUAAAACAAUGCUACAAAGCAAACAAGCACUGAGCUUUCACUUCAGUACCUUCCUAAUAAUGUCAUACCUUAUUUCCAGGAGAUUGUUUGUUUGGAAAAGUUGCCAAAAAAAAAAAAAAAAAAAAAAAAAAAAAAAGGCAGUGUCAUCUCCUAUCACUUCAUUUAACUAAGGCUCAAAAGGCAGUAGAAAUAACACUCAAGCUUCCACUACUGUUAUGUUUUACUUUGCUUUAAAGUUUCCAUAAAUAAGGCAUCUAUUUCUGACUGGCAAGGUACUGACUAUUGAAAAGUGACACUUUGCUUACAAACAGAAAGUUUAAUUUGUAGGACAAAUAAGAAAUAAAAUAUGUAUCAUGGUUCCAAAUGGAUCACUGAGGCAAGGCAAUCUUCCUAGGCACAGGUACAACCAAGCACAGUGAAGGGAAUGCUGAAAAUUCCCUGGCAACCACUUCUCAGCCGUGUCCCCACCAGGAUUUCCCCUGGGUGCAUGUCUCAGUGACAUGCCAUGCUCGAAAAGGACCCCCUGCCACACCCUCCUUCUGUGUUGGUUGGGCUGACAGGGACAGUGGGAACCACCCAGCUGAGGAUGCCUUCCCAUGGCAAUUCUGCCUUUCCUUUUCACUCCAGGGUGGGUGGGUGACUCCCACCAUCCUGCCCAGGGGUUCUGACCCCACAGCCUCAUAACCAGCACACAGAGGGGCCGAUGUGCACGUGUGCCUUCACCACAGAGGUCUGCAAACCUUCAGGACAUCACAAGAUCUCUCCUGAAAAGUCAGCGACUGCUGUCAUUUGCAGUAAGAUAGGAUUCAUCAUCUCCUUUCCCGUUCAGCCCAGACAGGCUUGGACAGGGGGAUGGCCUUCACACAGAGCGCUCUGGUAAAGUGCCUCCAGACAGACUUUUAGUCUCCACACCACAGUUCAGUGCACACCCUUCCCCUGAGUUGCCUCAUAUAUAAUUUAAAUGUUUAAUGCAAAGCAAAGCUAAUGUUAACAAUACAUAUUUUUGAAGACUGACAGUAUAAUGCUUUAUUUCCUAAAGGAAUAGCUGGAGUGAUCCACAAGCAAAUUACAAAGCCAAGUAACGCUGUCUGACCAGACGUAAUUUGUGCUCAUCUCUGAGAAAUCUUAGAGUGCACGCAUCCCUUCCUCCUUCCCAGCCAGGCAAAGUGGGAUUUACUGUGUGGUUUUCUUUCAGGCAAGGUAUGAAAAGCUGCUGUGCACUUUGUUCUGCAUUGGUAUUAAUGAUACCUUUAGAACUGUGAUGUCUUUGAUAUCUAUUGUGUGCUGCUGACUGAUGGCUCUUUCUAGCCUGGAAAGGAACUUUGUCUUAGCAGGUUUGUGUGGGCUGAGAGUGGAGGCCACGAGAAUAUUUUGAAGUCGAGGAUUUUUAAAUUAAUAUAAAGUAUCAUAUCAUUAAAGUCACCCUAAAACUUUCUUUGUCCAUGCAGGAAAUUAUUAGAUAUUAUCCUAUCUUGGUUCUGGUUAUUCUUUAUUGCCAUUCAUUCUCAGAGGCAGUGGAUGAGAAUUCACACGAGCAAGAGCAGGGACAGCACAAUCAUUCUCUUUGUGCACAAUCUCUUGCAUAUUUGCUGCAAGGCCCCCCAACUUCUUUUAAAAUAAAACACUCAGAAGCAGCAAUUCUGGUAAUUGUAUGACUAAUAUCUUCAUUAUCAAAAAGUGGUGUCUUUCACGUACAACAAAUGGAGGCAGUACUACCAUCAGCACUGGAAAUAAGGAUUCAGAAAAGGGCAAUUAUUUAUCAAAAAGAAAAAAAACCCUGAAAAUUUUAAUUUGUGGCAUGUGUUUUUCUUAACCUGCAUUAUAACCUGUAAACAAACAUUAAAUAAACGACUUGCAAACCGAUUCCAUAUGAUCUUAUCCAUUUCUUUUACCACACCAGUAAUACUAAAAGUAAUUUUGCAUAAGAGGAGACCCACGUUUUGCUCUUAGAUUUUAAUUAGGCCAUCUGAAGUGGGAGCAGUGCUUAAGAGCACAAAAGAUUGGAGACAGAAGAAAAAAACCUGGCUGGGGCAGGAAAUGAGAUGGUUGUUUGGAACUGCAGGCUCUGAACAGCUCGGCUGGUUUAGUGAUCAAUG